UGGGGAAUUUUGGACAAUGGGCGAAAGCCUGAUCCAGCAAUGCCGCGUGUGUGAAGAAGGCCUUCGGGUUGUAAAGCACUUUUGUCCGGAAAGAAAUCCUUGGCUCUAAUACAGUCGGGGGAUGACGGUACCGGAAGAAUAAGCACCGGCUAACUACGUGCCAGCAGCCGCGGUAAUACGUAGGGUGCAAGCGUUAAUCGGAAUUACUGGGCGUAAAGCGUGCGCAGGCGGUUUGCUAAGACCGAUGUGAAAUCCCCGGGCUCAACCUGGGAACUGCAUUGGUGACUGGCAGGCUAGAGUAUGGCAGAGGGGGGUAGAAUUCCACGUGUAGCAGUGAAAUGCGUAGAGAUGUGGAGGAAUACCGAUGGCGAAGGCAGCCCCCUGGGCCAAUACUGACGCUCAUGCACGAAAGCGUGGGGGAGCAAACAGGAUUAGAUACCCUGGUAGUCCACGCCCUAAACGAUGUCAACUAGUUGUUGGGGAUUCAUUUCCUAGUAACGUAGCUAACGCGUGAAGUUGACCGCCUGGGGAGUACGGUCGCAAGAUUAAAACUCAAAUGAAUUGACGGGGUCAUA
rnacentral:rRNA from 1 species